rnacentral:rRNA from 1 species
UUCCAGACUCCUACGGGAGGCAGCAGUGAGGAAUAUUGGUCAAUGUCCGAGAGGCUGAACCAGCCAAGUCGCGUGAGGGAAGACGGCCCUACGGGUUGUAAACCUCUUUUGUCGGGGAGCAAAGCGAGUCACGUGUGACUCAUUGAGAGUACCCGAAGAAAAAGCAUCGGCUAACUCCGUGCCAGCAGCCGCGGUAAUACGGAGGAUGCGAGCGUUAUCCGGAUUUAUUGGGUUUAAAGGGAGCGUAGGUGGAUUGUUAAGUCAGUUGUGGAAGUUUGCGGCUCAACCGUAAAAUUGCAGUUGAAACUGGCAGUCUUGAGUACAGUAGAGGUGGGCGGAAUUCGUGGUGUAGCGGUGAAAUGCUUAGAUAUCACGAAGAACUCCGAUUGCGAAGGCAGCUCACUGGACUGCAACUGACACUGAGGCUCGAAAGUGUGGGUAUCAAACAGGAUUAGAUACCCUCGUAAUC